GACAGAGGAUGCAAGCGUUAUCCGGAAUGAUUGGGCGUAAAGCGUCUGUAGGUGGCUUUUUAAGUCUGCCGUCAAAUCCCAGGGCUUAACCCUGGACAGGCGGUGGAAACUACCAAGCUGGAGUACGGUAGGGGCAGAGGGAAUUUCCGGUGGAGCGGUGAAAUGCGUAGAGAUCGGAAAGAACACCAACGGCGAAGGCACUCUGCAGGCGGACACUGACACUGAGAGACGAAAGCUAGGGGAGCAAAUGGG
rnacentral:rRNA from 1 species